UUAGAUUUGGAAUUGCAGCUCUGCAUGUGCUUACAUAAAAAAAAAAUCGGCCCGCUGCCUCUCUGCGAGUUUUCUGCAUCUCAAGAAUUUUUCUCAUCUCGGCUCUCUCGAUCUCCCGUUCUCCCCCUCACUCUGAAAACAAUCGUUUCCUCGGUUUGAUUUCUCAACAGCGCGUAAGCAUCUCCGUCGACGUCGCCGUGCAGGGGCGCUUUGGUUGCCCACAUGCCCCUAUGGUGUUCGUCGAAUUGCCUGACCGUGGGCGUGGGGGGGAUGGGUCUGCUACUACCUGCGCCGAUGAUCCGAUUCCAGUGUCGUCGUCAGGUACCUCGUUAUGGCUGUAUGGCAGAAACCAGUUAAUUAAAUAUGCCUCCUUGACUUUAUUCUUUUGUUCAUAUGAAACAGUCUUUACUUUAACGAAAUGCUAUGUUGGCCGGUAGAAACAAGCAAGUAGUCAGAGAAUAAAAAUGAUAGUUGAUUUGGUUGUUUGGUUUGUGGUGUUUUUCUAUAGGUAUGACUCCAACAGGCUAAGUUAAACUGAGGCAAUUCAUUGUGUUCACAUGGAAAAUUGUUUCCUCCUUUUCUUAUAUAUAUCAUCUAGUUGCAUAAUGCCAGUUGGUUCUUUGAUCA